rnacentral:rRNA from 1 species
UACGUAGGGGGCGAGCGUUGUCCGGAUUUAUUGGGCGUAAAGAGCGUGUAGGCGGCCAGGUAGGUCUGCUGUGAAAACUCGAGGCUCAACCUCGAGACGUCGGCGGAAACCAUCUGGCUAGAGUCCGGAAGAGGAGAGUGGAAUUCCUGGUGUAGCAGUGAAAUGCGUAGAGAUGUGGAGGAAUACCGAUGGCGAAGGCAGCCCCCUGGGAUGACACUGACGCUCAUGCACGAAAGCGUGGGGAGCAAACAGG